rnacentral:lncRNA from 1 species
CUGUUUUUUGUUGGCAGAAUACGGAAAAUCAGGGUCUUCAAACUCCAACAAUGCUUUCGCCACUUCAACAUUGCCACAACGUGCUGCUUCGUGUAAAGCCAUGUUGGAUUCCUGAUCCGUAAUCCUCAGCAUCUCCCUGACUGCAUUUACUGAUCCAUUCCCAGCUUCUCUAAAUCUCCAUCUCUAGCUUUUGCGCAAAACUUGAUUAGAAGUUUCACAAUAGCAGAAUGUCCAUUCCUUGCUGUAACGUGUAAAGGAGUUUGACCUUUAGCAUUCGUUUGGAGUAGCAGUGACGGACACUUGCUGAGAAUUUGUUCGAUGAAAUCUGAUCUUUUUUUCUCUUUUUAUCAUAGUAAUGAAAAAACUCAUAACCGGAUCGGAUGAGUGAAAUCUGUUUAAAAGCCAGGCGGCAGUCUCCUGGGUUGCCAAGUUAACAUGGAGGACGUUGUCAUGGUUUGGGGUCUUCAGUGACUCAAGUUGAAGUCCCUGCUUAUUAUUGAAUACUUCAAUGUUGCCUUCUGCUGCUGUCUUAUAGAGCGAAGCAUCCAUGUGGCUGAUGUUCUCUUCAGGCUCCUGAGGUCCCAUUUUUGUUGAUCUAUUUCUACCAGGAUAACACCAAACAAAAUUUAAUUAAUUAUCUUGAAACAUCCUAAGCUCAAGAAAAAAAACUGCAAAUUAAGAAAUUUACCAAAUUCCAUACCUAUUUGUUUGUUGCUUGCAUAUCCUCCGUUCAAGUCACCUACAACUAUAUAUAUAUAAUUUCAUACUUGAACACUUUAGUAAUAGUAAUAUAUAAGGGUUAGAGGCCAGGUCAAUAAAGUAGGAGGUUUUAUGGUGAAAUUUGGGGUUAAGGAAACUGUAAAGAAAACACUUAGCAAAGAAGGUGAAGAAUUGAAGAAAAAGAAGGGAAGAAAAUGGAGUGUACAGCUCUUCGUGGUCAAGGCAAUGCUGCCCUAAGUACUAUUCUUGCUUUGUGCUUUAUUAACUUUAUAAUUUUACUUUAAACAAAACGACAAUCUCUGGUUAGAGGUCAGGUCAAUAAAUGAGGAGUUUUUUACGGUGAAAUUUGGGUUUAAGGAAACUGUAAAGAAAAUACUUGGCAAAGAAGGAGAAGAAUUGAGCAAAAAAGGCAGGGCAGAUGAAACAAUUUGCAAGUCUAUGAGAAGGUUCUAAAAUCACAUAACCAACUGUGUUGAAAGCAAUCACCAAGGACAUUAGACAUGAAUUGGGCUUAAUAUAAAAUUAUAUUAAUAUCUCAAUAAUUUAUUUUUGAUAAAAGAAGAUCCAGAAUUCCAAAGUGGAUGGAGAGGGAAAAAAUAAAGAGAAUAAAGGCCAGUUGUUGGAACAUUGGCAGCAACAAAUCAAGAAACAAACUAAGUUUGUUAAGUAAAACAAUGAGAAAACCGAGCAAAAGUUUGAAAAAGAGACUAGAACUUGAACAAAAGAUGAUUUUGCAAGAAUCAAUCUAAUUUUCAUUGAUCAUUUCAAAAUAUAUGUAACUUACAAUAGAAAUUUGACAGUUACCUAAUGAUAUAACUGCUCCCACUAAUUAAUACUAAUGCAAACUUAAGUUACACAUAAAAGAAAGCUGUCAUAACAGCUAUUACAUCAAGGUUCAAAUCUAAACUAAUCUCACUAACUUUUGAACAAGAUUACAAUUGAACUAGACAAAGUUUCAUAGGAACAAAAUGAUCAAAAUACAACAAAAUUUGUUGUUGCAUUUGGUUCUGCUUCAUUGCAUAUCUACAUGGUGAGCUGUUGAAGUUUCGGUCACUGGUAAAAUGUUGCAUUGCAGGCCAAUGCUCAACACUUUUCCUUGGACUAUAUGCAACAUACACCAAUUUUGUUUUUCAAAUCCUCGAACUUAGCUGUACCAAGUGGCUUUGUCAAAAUGUCAGCCAAUUGGUCUUGUGAGCUGCAAUGAACAAGGCUGGUUUCUCCUGUCUGCUCAGCCUCUUUAACAAAAUGAAAUUUAAUUUUAAAGUGUUUAGUCAUGCCAUGGAAGACUGGAUUUUUAGCUAUGGCAACUGCUGAUUGGUUGUCAACCAUGAUUUCAGUAGCUUCACUUUGUUCUUCAUUCAAAUCAGACAACAAUUUCCUGAGCCAAAUGGCUUGAUUCACUGCUUGCUGCUGCAAUAUACUCUGCUUCAGCUGUGGAUUGAGCAACAGUUUGUUGCUUCUUUGAACUCCAACAAAAUACUCCUGAGCCAAGUGUGAAGAAGUAGCCCGAGGUGCUUCUCAUGUCAUUUGCAGAGCCUGCCCAGUCACUGUCUGAGUAUCCAAUUAGCUUGAGCUCAUUUUCCCUCUUGAACAUGACACCAAACUUCAAGGUUCCCUUAACAUACCUAAGUACUCUUUUUGCUGCCUUGAAAUGAUAUGUGUCACAACAGUGCAUGAAUCUAGACAAAAAGCUAACAGCAUGCAUGAGAUCAAGUCUAGUUGCAGUCAAAUAAAGCAAACAGCCAAUUAAGCUUCUAUACUCUUUCUCAUCUACCCUCUCUUGGCUUCCAAAAUUGGUCAACCUUUCUCCUUGGGCCAUUGGUGUGUUUACUGGUUUACAGUUAGACAUGCAAAAUUUGUCUAGGAUCUUCAGAGCAAAAGCAUACUAGCUAAUAAAGAUUCCUCAAUCAGACUGGUUCACUUCCAUACCAAGGAAGUAUGUCAUGGCUUCCAAGUCAGUCAUAUCAAACAUUUCCUUCAUUUGAGUCUUGAAGUCAUUGAUCAGAUCAGUUCUGCUUCCAGUCACUAGCAGAUCAUCUACAUAAACUGAAAUAAUCAACAAAGUUUCAUCUUCAGUCUUCUUUACAUAGAGUGUUGGUUUACUCAGACUUUUCUCGAACCCAAGUCUGCACAAGUAGGCAUCAACUUAAUCAUACCAGGCUCUAGGUGCCUGUUUCAGACCAUACAAGGCUUUCUUCAGCCUAUAGACUUUAUUCUCUUCUCUUGGGACUUUAAACCCUUCUGGUUGCUUUAUGUAAAUUUCCUCCUUUAGAAAACCAUUCAAAAAGGCUGACUUGACAUCUAAUUGGUGAAUCUUCCACUGUUUCUGUGUAGCCAAGGCAAACAGAAGCUUGAUUGUGUCAAGCCUAGAUACUGGAGCAAAUGUCUCCAUGAAGUCAGUGCCAUACUCUUGACUAUAGCCCUUUACCACCAAUCUUGCCUUAUGUUUGUUUAAAGAGCCAUCAGAGUUGAAUUUGGCUCUAAAAACCCAUUUGACACCUAUGACUUUCUUCUGGUCUGGCCUAUCAAACAAGUCUCAUGUUUCAUUUUUCCUGAUCAUGUCAAGCUCAGCUUCCAUUGCCUUCCUCCAGCAUCUAUCCCUUGCAGCUUCUUCAUAGCUUGAAGGCUCAACUAUUGCUGUAUUGCAUCUAUGGUAGAUGUCAGCAAUGGUUCUGGUUCCUCUCACAGGAAGAUCAUCAAUGUCUGCACUUUCUGGUUCAUUCACAAUUGGCUCUAAGCUGAUGUCAAGUUGGUCUUCAUCAAACUGACUUGCAUCUACACCUUCCCAGCUCCAAAACUUCUCCUCAUCAAAUUUAAUGUCCCUGCUCACCAAGAUUUUCUUUGUCGAAGGGUCAUACACUCUAUAGCCCUUUUUGUUAUUGCUAUAGCCCACAAAUAUACCAGGAGCAGACUUUCUCUCAAGUUUUGUUCUUCUUUCAGCUGGAAUGAGCACAUAGCACACACAUCCAAACACUUUCAGAUGGGAAACUGAUGGUUUGAGCCCAUACCAUGCCUCAAAGGGUGUUUUGUCCUUUACAGCUCUUGUUGGAAGCUUGUUCAACAGGUAAAUUGAGGUGUGGAUAGCUUCUGCCCAAAAUUUGCUUGGAAGUUUACUUUGAAAAAGCAAACAUCUGGCCAUAUUCAUCACUGUCCUGUUUUUCCUUUCACAAACUCCAUUUUGCUGUGGAGUAUAGACUGUGGUUAGCUGAUGGUGGAUCCCUGCAUGCUUACAAAACUUUUGAAACUUUUCAUACAAGUAUUCAGUCCCAUUGUUAGUUCUCAAGGCCUUGAUCUUGCAACCUAUUUGGUUCUCCACUAGUGCCUUGAAUUUGCUGAAGGCCUCAAACACUUCAGACUUGUGUUUCAUGAAGUAAACCCAACAAAAUCUGGUCAAAUCAUCAAUGAACAACACAAAAUACUUGCUGCCAUUUAAAGAAGGGGACUUCAUUGGUCCACAAAUAUCAAAGUGCACUAGUUUAAGCCUUUCUUCAGCUCUCCAGGCUUGGUUCACUGGAAAUGGUAAUCAAGCUUGCUUACCAAGCUGACAGAUAUCACAAACAGUGUCACUUGCAUCUACCUUGGACAUGUUCUCUACUAAAUUUUGUUUGUGCAACAGAUCAAGUGAUCUGAAAUUAGUAUGGCCUAAUCUUCUAUGCCAUAGGCCAACAUUAUCAGCCAAGCUUACAUAAGCUUUGUUUUCUAGCUGAUUUACAUCAAGCAUGAAACAUUUAUCUACCAUGCCUAUUGUAAUCAAUUUUUGACCAUGACAGUCCUUAAUAACACAUGAACCAUUCUUGAAAACUAGGAAAUACCCUUUUUCAACCAACUGACCAACACUCAACAGAUUCUGAUCAAUAUUGGGCACAAAGAGCACAUCUGAAAUGAUUUUAUUACUUGAACAAGUGCUGAUUAAAACACUGCCUCUGCCUUUGGCUUCAAUUAGUUCACCAUUGCCAAUUCUGAUUUUUGAGCCAUAGCUUCUAUCUAGAUCCUUGAGCAGACUCUCAUCACCUGCCAUAUGGUGUGAGCAGCCACUGUCCACCAACCAAUUGCUUCUGACUUUGCUUGAAGAUGCAAAGCAAGAGGCUGUGAACACAUGCUCCUCUUGAGCUUGAAGGUUCUCAGUAGCUUGAGCUUGGAUCUGCUACUGUGCUGGUGCCUUUGGUUUGUUUUUGCAAACUUUCUCAACAUGGCCAAACUAUUUGCAGCUCCUACAUUGUAUGUCUGGUCUAAACUAGCAAAACCUUUCAGAAUGUAUGGUCUUCUUGCAAUGGACACAUAGUGGAAACUUUCUCUUGCCUGAAUCUCUCCUUGGUUUGUCCCUCUUGUCAAGCCAAGGCUUCUUACCUUUCUGACUUGUGCUGGAACUCUCUUUGGCCUUUGCUUGGAAGGUUCCUUCAAGAUGGUCUUCCUGCCUGUUGGCCAUUCUCUACUCCAAAACAUAAAGAGAGUUCACCAACUCAGACAAAGAGAUGGUUGUCAAGUCCCUUGAGUCCUCGAGUGAUGAGAUUUUGGAUUCAAAUCUCUCAGGGAGUGUGGUAAUAACCUUUUCAACCACCCUGCUAUCACUAAAAUCCUCACCAAGUAGCCCUAUGCUGUUGACAGUGGCCAUGAUCCUGUCUGAGUAUUGCUUAAUGCUCUCAGACUCUUUCAUUUUCAAGUUUUCAAAGUCUCUCCUCAGAUUAAUCACUUGUUGCUGCCUUGUCUUGUCUGACCCCAUGAACUCCUCCUUCAAGCUCUCCCAUGCUUCCUUAAGUGUGCUGCAGGCCAUGAUUCGAGUGAAGAUUACAUCAAACACUCCAUUUUGCAAGUAGGCCAAGGCUUUGUGCUUCUUGGUGCUCUCUUCAGCAUGCUGCCUAAUUUGAGCAAUUGUGGGAUUAGCCCUCAAUGGAGGUGGUUCAAUGUCGUUUUCAACUACACUCUACAAGUUUUGAGCUUGAAGAUAAGUCUUCAUCUUGACUACCCAGAUGUGAUAGUUUUCACCAGCAAAUACUAGAGGUGGAGGUGGUGUGAAGCUCAUCCUGUUGCAACAAGUUCAACAGCUUCAAACUCUUACUUUCUCGUGCUUUGUUUUCUCAAAUGAAACAUCCAACAAUUAGAGGCCCUCAAAGGCUUAGGCUCUGUAUACCAUAUGUUGGAACAUUGGCAGUAACAAAUCAAGAAACAAACUUAGUUUGUUAAGUAAAACAAUGAGAAAACCGAGCAAAAGUUUGAAAAAGAGACUAGAACUUGAACAAAAGAUGAUUUUGCAAGAAUCAAUCUAAUUUUUAUUGAUCAUUUCAAAAUAUAUGUAACUUACAAUAGAAAUUUGACAGUUACCUAAUGAUAUAACUGCUCCCACUAAUGAAUACUAAUGCAAACUUAAGUUACACACAAAAUAAAGCUGUCAUAACAGCUAUUACAUCAAGGUUCAAAAUCUCACUAACUUUUGAACAAGAUUACAAUUGAACUAGACAAAGUUUCAUAGGAACAAAAUGAUCAAAAUACAACUAAAUUUGUUGCUGCAUUCGAUUCUGCUUCAUUGCAUAUCUGCAUGGUGAGCUGCUGAAGUUUCGGUUACUGGUAAAAUGUUGCAUUGCAGGCCAAUGCUCAACAGCAAUGCAUAACAAAUGCUUAAAUGCUGCCUCGUAAAUUAGAAAAGGAGUUCCUUGCUCUGACCUUUUUUCACCCUUGAAAUCACUUGGAACAAUUAUGGUUGCUACGAAUGCCACAAUGGCUAUAAGUGCCGCCACUACUAAAUGAAAAUCUCUUAUCUUCUCCAAGCUUUCUGCAGAGACAGUUAAUAAGGGAAUGUGAAAAAAUGGUAACUUGGCUACUUGUUCAAGCGCAAUAUCUUUCAAACAUUCUUCAAUUUGCUUAUGGCAUGCCACCCACAUUAGCCGAUUGUAUUGUAAUGUAGGUCUAUUAUAUAUAUAUGUUAAUUCAAAACCCAAUUAUUAAUAAAACCAUAGCCCUUGGUCAUAGAAAUACACACACCUUUUCACACUGAUAUUUCUCAUGAUGACUCAUAUCGAAGUGCAUCAUAAACUUGUUGAGGUGUCAUCCCCCUCCAUCCCUUUAACACUUCUUCAUCUCUUUCCUUUGUCAAAUUCCCUACUUCAACAUUUUAGCAUACCAUAAUCUCCAACAAUGUUAUCCUUGCUAUGUGUUUUACUAAUUUUAUACUUCAAACAAAAUGACAUUAAUCUCCCAUCUUGUUGUAAUCUCUUCAACUCGGCCUAUACAUUAGAUCCAAAUUUGAGAGAUUACAUCGGUCACCGAAAUGGCCUAGUAGCGAUCAAAGUUUAAAAAAUGACCAAUUUAAAAUAUAGAAAACUUAGCUUAUUUUCAGUAUAACACAUGAGAGUUAAAUUUUCCGAUUUAUUUAUUACUCAAUACUAAAUUAUAAUUUAGCAAUGGAAAAAUGAUUUUCAACUUAAUUUUAUUCAAACCAUAUUUCAUGCUUAAUUAAUUAAAAUUCAUAUAUUAAAUUAAGUUAAAUGUCAUACAUGCUAAAUUAAACAAAAACCUAAGUCUCAUGCAACGAUUUAAAUAAGAUAUUACAGUUCCUGAAUAACAAAAAAUUUUGAAUAAUAAAUCCAAAAUAUUUUAAUAAAUAAAACCCAAGUCGAGUCCUCUGUAUGCCGAGUCUGCAUCCUAACUUGGUGGAUUAUCUGUAAAGAUGGAAAUAAAAUAGAAGUGAACUAUGAAGCUUAAUGUGAGUUCAAUCAUAAGAAAACCACUGCAAACAACAGACAAAACAUAUAGAAUAUCAAUUCAUAGAAUAAAUCACAAUUAAUUAACCAUACAAAAUAUCAAUAAAUCAGAUCAAUUCAUCAACAUAAUAUCUCAAUGUUCAAAGCCAUGUACAUCUCUGAAUGCAAUGCAAUUUCAAAGAAAUAGAAUAGGUCCUACCCAACUCCAUUAUACACUAUAAUAGGAGAUCCCUAGAACUCCUCUACUUUUACACCACAGUGGAGAUAAACCACUAAUGUUGCAUAUAGACUACUAGUAUGGCGUGGAUAAACCAAUAGUAUUAAAAAGGGUGAAUGAACCACCUGAUUUUUCUAUUUUUUUUAAACAGUUUUUGCAGACAAGCUGCCAUUAAGUUGUGGAUGCAUAACACAUUUGUAGAUUAAAGUUGUUAAUACGAUGUAGAUAAAUCACUAAUCAAUACUGAUAAAAGCUACUAAUACGGUGUGGAUAAACCACUAAUUGGUGUAGAUAAAAACUACCAAUAUACAGUGUAUUAAUAUGGACUAAUAACACAUUAGAUUAGACACAAAAUGAAUUAAUCUUAAAUUCGUUUAAAAACUAAUUUACUGUUGGCGUUCACUGUGUCCUUAUUUUACAUUUGUCCUAAGUAUACCUUAGUUCAAAAAUAGCAAAAAAUAAAAAAUAAAAACUAUUUUGUUAAAAGUUGAGACGUCAAAUAUAAUAGAUUAGAAAGCUCGAAAUGACUUCAUCAAAUUUGGUUGAAAAUAUAUGGGCUUAGGAGUGUAGCCAGGGGUUGACAAGGACCUAGCCCUCUAAAAUAGAAAUUUUUUCUUUUUGUCUCUUUAUAAUUUAUAAAAUUUUAAAUUAAUAAUAAUAAAAUUAUAUUUUGGCCCCUUCCCAAAAGAUAAAAUUUUGAUUUAAUUCUUUAAAAAUGAUUUAGAUAUAGGCUAUUAAAAUGGUGGAAUUACAAUUUUUUUCCUAUGGUAUUUAAUAUACCGAGAUAUGAAUUUUAAUUUACAAAUUGUAGACAACACAUAUUUAAUAAUAUACUAAUUUUGGGCGUCAGAAGAGUGUUAAAAUCUUCCUUUUGUGUAACCGACUCUCGAAUCUAGCCAAAAAUUUCAUUUUAAAGAAGAAUUUCCAAAAUUUUCUUUUUCAAAGGUAAUUUUAUAAGUGUUUGAUCACACAUAGCCAAAAAGAUUGGCGGCAGUUUCCCAUUUUUAAAUAAAACCUUAUGUUUUCCCCAAACUUAAAAUUCUCAUAUUUUUCAAUGAUUCGUCAAACUAAUUUUUAAUUAUAAGGGAGAAUUAGUUACAACAUCUUUAUUAUUAUUUGAUCUUUAACAAAUCUUAGUUUACAGAAAUUAUGAUUUUUUUAAUCUUUUUUGAAAUUGUAUGUGUAUCAACUAAUAAUUUUAUAUUAAAUUCAAUUAAAUGAAGAUGGUUAAUAUUAAAGUAAUAAUUUCUUCAAAGAGGUAACAUUCACACUAGGAAUUGGGAAAAUAUUGUAAUCAAUGAAGAAGUAAUAUCCUCCUAAUAUAGUACUCAAAAAUAGUCCAAUGCAGAACAAAAAAGAAGGCAGGGCAGAUGAGAUAUGACACAAUGGCAAGUCCGUGGGAAGGUUUUAAGACCAUAUAACUGCCUGUGCUGAAAGCAAUAAUCAUCGCAACCGUUGCAUAGCCAAGGAGCCCAGAAACAGCUUGAGUUCGAUAUAAAAUUGUUUCACUCCAAAAUUUAAAUACUGUAAACAGAUUAUCCAGUGUUGAAAAGUCAAAUUAAAAGGGGUGUUGAAAAGUCAAAAAAAUGGGAGGUGCAAGUGGCACCGAAAGAAAAAAAUGGUAGGCAAGUUGUUUAAAGUUGAAUGGGAUAAUUGCAAUUUUGGUCCCUAAUUUUUUAGGCCAUUUGCAAGUUAGUCCCUGAACCUCAACUAUAAAUAGGCCUAACCAUUUCUCAUUUACACCAUCCCAACCAAUCUUUCUCUCUUAGUUUUCUUUCUUCUCCCAUUUGAGAAUUCUUAAGGAAUUCUAUUUGUUUGUAAUAUUUUGAAGAUAGUAAAGUUAUCAUCUGGUGUUAGUGCCCGAGGACGUAGGUAUAAUUUACCGAACCUCGUUAAAACUCUUGUGCUCUUUCUUGUCCUAUUUUUCUUUCAAUAUUUGAGGGUAUAAUAGUAGUAUUUAAUUGUGCUAUUAAAUUACUAUAGAAGGGAUAUUCUGACUAAGGAAAACUUGGUAUUUAAGAGAUCCAUGUGAUCCACCUCUCUUCCCUGGGAAUUGAACUUUGUGUGAUUUUUUAGUACAAUAAUUUACAUGCUUCCGACCCUAUUGGAACAACAAGUGAUAUCAAGAGCCGAAGGUUAAUCGUAGUAUGCUCUGUGGUUGCAGUUUGAAUUGAUCUUCCACAUCAGAAAAGAUUUCCUUAGGUAUAUUGAAAGAUUAUGGAGAAAACGGUCGGUGUAGGAGCUUCAACAUCGUCCAUGUGGACAAGACCGACAAUUACAAAUGCAAGACUGGCCGUGGAGAUCUUUGAUGGCACGGGCCAUUUUGGUAUGUGGCAAAGUGAGGUUCUAGAUGCCCUUUUUCAGCAGGGUCUAGACAUUGCCAUUGAUGAAGAGAAACUAGAUGAUGUACAGGAGAAAGAUUGGAAGGCGAUCAAUCGGUUGGCAUGUGGCACAAUUCGAUCAUGCCUUUCUCGAGAGCAGAGGUAUGCUUUUUCAAAGGAGACUUCUGCAAAUAAGUUGUGGGUGGCACUUGAAGAAAAUUUUUUGAAGAAAAACAGUCAAAAUAAGCUCCACUUGAAGAAAAGACUGUUUCACUUCACUUACGUCCCAAGUACCACAAUGAAUGAUCACAUCACCAAAUUUAAUCAGUUAGUCACUGAUUUGCUAAAUAUGGAUGAGACAUUCAAAGAUGAAGAUUUGGCUUUGACGCUGUUGGGGUCACUUCCUGAGGAGUUUGAGUUCCUAGAAACUACUCUACUUCAUGGCAGGAGUGAUAUAUCUCUGAGCGAAGUCUGUGCGGCCUUAUACAGUUAUGAACAUAGAAAGAAGGACAAACAGAAAAACUCAAUCAGAGAUACAGAAGCGUUAGUAGUCCGAGGUCGUUCAUACACUCGGAAGAAAACUCAGAAGGGGAGAUCAAAGUCAAAGUCCAGACUCGGGAAAGAUGAAUGUGCCUUUUGUCAUGAGAAAGGCCACUGGAAGAAAAAUUGUCCAAAGCUGAAGAAAAAGGGAAAAGCUGCUGUAGAUGCUUGUGUUGCAAAGCAUGAUACUAGUGACUCUGAACUAUCACUGGUUGCAUCAUCAUCGUCGUUCCAUUCAGAUAAGUGGAUAUUGGAUUCGGGUUGUACCUAUCAUAUGUCCCCUAAUCGGGAGUGGUUCUCUGAUUUAGUAGAACUAAAUGGAGGAGUUGUUUAUAUGGGCAAUGACAAUGCCUGUAAAACUAUUGGGAUAGGUUCAAUCCAAUUAAAGAAUCAAGAUGGAUCAACCAGAGUUUUGACUGAUGUUCGGUACGUGCCCAGUUUGAAGAAAAAUCUCAUCUCAUUGGGAGCCUUGGAAUCCAAUGGUUCAGUUGUUACUAUGAGAGAUGAGAUUUUGAAAGUGACAUCUGGCGCACUUGUGAUAUUGAAGGGCAUCAGGAAAAAUAACUUGUAUUACUACCAAGGUAGUACAGUUAUUGGAGCAGUCGCUACAGCUUCCGGUAACAAAGAAUUGGACUCAAUGCAGUUGUGGCAUAUGAAGUUGGGACAUGCCAGCAAAAAAUCCUUGCAAAUUCUGGCAAAGCAAGGAUUGUUGAAAGGUGCAAAGGCUUGCAAAUUAAAAUUUUGCGAGCAUUGUGUUCUGGGAAAGCAAAAGAGAGUGAAAUUCGGUACUACUAUCCAUAAUACAAAAGGUAUUUUGGAAUAUGUUCACUCAGAUGUGUGGGGGCCUUCCAAGACAGCUUUAUUGGGAGGAAAACACUACUUUGUUACUUUUGUUGAUGACUUUUCCAGAAGAGUUUGGGUGUAUACCAUGAGAACUAAGGAUGAAGUGCUUAGAGUUUUUCUUAAAUGGAAAACUAUGAUCGAAAACUAGACUAGCAAGAAAAUCAAGCGGCUUAGGACGGACAAUGGAGGGGAAUAUAAAAGUGAUCCGUUCUUCGAUAUGUGCCAAGAGUAUAGUAUUGUUCGACACUUCACAGUUAGGGAUACACCACAGCAGAAUGGAUUGGCAGAGCGUAUGAAUCAAACAUUGCUGGAGAAAGUUCGAUGUAUGUUGUCCAAUGCUGGGUUGGGCAAGCAAUUUUGGGCUGAGGCUGUGACAUACGCUGGCCAUCUUGUUAAUCGUUUGCCAUCAUCUGCAUUAGAAAGAAAAACUCCUAUGGAGGUAUAGUCUGGAAAACCGGCUACAGAUUAUGAUUCCUUACAUGUGUUUGGAUCCACUGCAUAUUACCAUGUGAAGGAGUCAAAGUUAGAUCCGAGGGCAAAGAAAGCUCUCUUUAUGGGAAUCACUUCUGGAGUGAAGGGAUUUCGUCUUUGGUGCUUAAGCACAAAUAAAAUGAUCUGUAGCAGAGGUGUUACCUUUGAUGAAUCUGCCACAUUGAAAAAGGUAGCAGAUAAAGAUAUUCAGACGAGCAAUACUCCACAGCAGGUGGAGUGUACUCCAAAACAUGUGGAGUUUGAGCAGAUGGAGAUUUGCCCAGUUAAUAAGUCUAAUUCUUCAGCCACAAUGGAGGAAUUAGAGAUUGAAGAGGUUCUGACACAAGAACCAUUAAGUACACCAGAACCAGUUGCAGUUGCAAGGCCACGGAGAGAAAUUCGUAAACCUGCUCGAUUUACUGAUAUGGUGGCCUACGCCCUUCCCGUUGUUGAUGAUAUUCCUAUCACUUAUCAAGAAGCAAUGCAAAGCUUAGAAAGUGAUAAAUGGAAAAGCGCCAUGGAUGAAGAAAUGUAGUCUCUCCUGAAAAAUAAUACUUGGGAGUUGGCGCAAUUACCGAAAGGUAAAAGGGCAAUUGGAUGCAAGUGGGUAUUCGCAAAGAAAGAUGGAUCUCCUAAAAAGAAGGAUAUUCGCUACAAGGCAAGAUUGGUAGCUAAAGGCUACGCUCAGAAGGAGGGAAUUGACUACAAUGAUGUAUUUUCCCCUGUUGUGAAGCAUUCAUCCAUUAGAAUUUUGUUGGCCUUGGUAGCACAGUUGAAUUUGGAACUAGCUCAACUUGAUGUUAAGACGGCUUUCUUGCAUGGUGAGUUAGAAGAGGAGAUCUAUAUGACUCAGCCCGAAGGAUACACAGAUGCUGGUGGUAGAAAUUGGGUUUGUAAGCUGAACAAAUCGCUAUAUGGAUUGAAGCAAUCCCUGAGGCAGUGGUACAAGCGAUUUGAUAGCUUUAUGAGAAGGCAGAAGUACACAAGAAGCAAAUAUGACAAUUGUGUGUAUUUGCAGAAGCUGCAUGACAGAUCUUUCAUUUAUCUACUCUUGUAUGUUGAUGAUAUGUUAAUCGCUUCGAAGAGCCAAAAAGAGAUAGAUAAGCUGAAGGCUCAGUUGAAUCAAGAGUUCGAGAUGAAAGAUCUAGGUGAGGCCAAGAAGAUUCUCGGCAUGGAGAUAAGUAGAGAUAGACAGAGAGGCAAGCUUUGUUUGAAUCAGAAGCAAUAUCUGAAAAAGGUAUUACAAUGUUUUGGUGUAAAUGAAAACACAAAACAUGUAAGUACCCCACUUGCUUCUCAUUUGAAACUUAGUGCUCAAUUAUCUCCGAAAACUGAAGAAGAAAGAGAAUAUAUGGCAAAAGUCCCAUAUGCUAAUGCAGUUGGGAGUUUGAUGUAUGCGAUGGUGUGUACGCGGCCUGACAUUUCACAAGUUGUUGGAGUUGUGAGCAGGUAUAUGCAUGAUCCUGGAAAAGGACAUUGGCAAGCUGUGAAAUGGAUUCUACGGUAUCUUCGAAAAACCGUAGAUGUUGGUUUAAUUUUUGAACAGGAUGAAGCACUUGGUCAGUUUGUAGUUGGAUAUGUUGAUUCCGACUUUGCUGGUGAUUUAGAUAAACGUCGUUCAACUACGGGGUAUCUGUUUACUCUUGCGAAAGCCCCAGUGAGUUGGAAGUCUACCUUACAGUCUACAGUAGCUGUGUCUACUACAGAGGCAGAAUAUAUGGCAGUUACAGAAGCUGUUAAGGAGGCUAUUUGGCUUAAUGGAUUGUUGAAAGACUUAGGAGUUGUUCAAAGUCACAUAAGUUUAUAUUGUGACAGUCAGAGCGCUAUUCAUUUAGCGAAAAAUCAAGUCUAUCAUUCAAGAACCAAGCAUAUCGACGUAAGAUAUCACUUUGUGCGGGAAGUCUUUGAAAAAGGAAAUAUUCUACUUCAGAAGAUUCCGACAGCAGAUAAUCCCGCAGAUAUGAUGACCAAGGUGGUAACAACAAUCAAGUUUAAUCAUUGUUUGAACUUGAUUAACAUCCUGAGAAUUUGAGCACCUUCAGGUGUAUGGCGCUCGAGAGCGCAUUUGGAGGCACUACAAAAGAUAACUUUAUCGAAUUUGGGGAGUUGAAGGAAGUGUGUGAAGAUGUGAUUAUCCUAAUCAAAUCUUCAAGGUGGAGAUUGUUGAAAAGUCAAAUUAAAAUGGGUGUUGAAAAGUCAAAAAAAUGGGAGGUGCAAGUGGCACCGAAAGAAAAAAAUGGUAGGCAAGUUGUUUAAAGUUGAAUGGGAUAAUUGCAAUUUUGGUCCCUAAUUUUUUAGUCCAUUUGCAAGUUAGUCCCUGAACCUCAACUAUAAAUAGGCCUAACCAUUUCUCAUUUACACCAUCCCAACCAAUCUUUCUCUCUUAGUUUUCUUUCUUCUCCCAUUUGAGAAUUCUUAAGGAAUUCUAUUUGUUUGUAAUAUUUUGACGAUAGUAAAGUUAUCAUCUGCUGUUAGUGCCCGAGGACGUAGGUAUAAUUUACCGAACCUCGUUAAAACUCUUGUGUUCUUUCUUGUCCUAUUUUUCUUUCAAUAUUUGAGGGUAUAAUAGUAGUAUUUAAUUGUGCUAUUAAAUUACUAUAGAAGGGAUAUUCUGACUAAGGAAAGACUUGGUAUUUAAGAGAUCCAUGUGAUCCACCUCUCUUCCCUGGGAAUUGAACUUUGUGUGAUUUUUUAGUACAAUAAUUUACACGCUUCCGACCCUAUUGGAACAACAUCCAAAACCCCAAAAUGGAUGAAUAGGGCAGAAACAGAGAAAAUAAAGGCCAUUGCAUUUGUUACAACAAAUGCUUUAAAGGCUGCCUCAUGAAUCAAAAAGGGAGUGCCUUGCUUUGACCCUUUUUCGCUCUCCAAACCACCAGGAACAGUUAUUGCCGCUGCGAAGGUGACGGUGGCUAUAAGUGCUGCCACUAUUAAAUGAGUAUUUCUUAUAGCCUCCAAUCUUUCUAUAGAAACAUUUGGUAAGUGAAAGUGACGAACUGGUUGCUCUGCCACUUGAUCGUUCUCAAUUUCUUCCAACAAUUCUUUGAUUUGCUUUUGUCAUGCCACCCACAUUAACCGAUUGUAUUGUAAGUUUAUUAAAUAUGUUAAUUCAAAACUUAAAUAUUAAUAAAACCAUAGCCAUGGAAAUGCAAUAUAUAUACACACACCUGUUUAUGAUGUUGUUUCUUAGAUUGAAGUGUAUUAUAAACUUCUUGAGGUGUGAUUCCAAAGGCACCUUCCAACUCCAUUAGAUUUCUAACUGAUCCAUAUACAAGGUCAACACCACCACGCUUAAAAACAGAACUCCCUGAUGGAAAGACAGAGUCUCUAAAAGCCGUAUAAUGAAGUAAAUUCAAACCUUUGUUGUCCACUUUUUCGCAACAAUCUGGACAUAUAGAGAGAAUCUUUGAACUUGUUCCACCAUUACCUUGCCUGGCUGCCAUGAGGGGUGUCAUCCCCCUCUUUUUAUCUCCUAUAUAGGCAGCUGACACAUCCCUUUUUAACAGUUCUUCCACAACUGAUAAUCUAGAACCCUAGUGUGCAGCAUAAUGAAGAGGGGUGUGUCCAUCUUCAUCUCUUUCUUUUGUCAAAUUCCCCUUCUUCUCUAAUAUUAUCUUUACUGCCUCUAAAUCCAAACAAAAAAAAAUGUCAAUAGACCUGUUCUUUAUUUAUUUUAAAUUUUUAAAAAAAAUGGAACUAACUCAACAACAUACCUGCAUCUCUAGCCAUAGCUGCUGCAUGCAAAACUGUUCUACCGUGGGGGCCGCCAUGAGCUGUUGAUUUCGAUUUAUCUAAUAGCAUCCUCAGCAUGCCCCCGUCUCCUCUCCUAGCUGCUAUGUAAAGUGGAGUCUCCAGCUUUAUAUUGGCAGAAUACGGAAAAUCAGGGUCUUCAAACUCCAACAAUGCUUUCACCACUUCAACAUUGCCACAUCGUGCUGCUUCAUGUAAAGCCGUGUUGGAUUCCUGAUCCGUAAUCCUCAGCAUCUCCCUCACGUCAUUUACUUGAUCCAUUCCCAGCUUCUCUAAAUAUCCAUCUCUAGCUUUUGCACAAGACUUGAUUAGAAGUUUCACAAUAGCAGAAUGUCCAUACCUUGCUGCAACGUGCAAAGGAGUUUGGCCUUUACCAUUCGUUUGGAGUAGCAGUGACGGGCACCUGCUAAGAAUUUGUUCGAUAAAAUCUGAUCUUUUUUCUCCUCUUAUAUUAGUAAUUAAAUCACGCAUAGGCGGAAAGAAGCAUCCAUAUAGUAAGGGGACGAAUUUGAUUAUUGGGAGAAAUAUGUUAAAAAGGAAGGCAGCAUUCUCCUGGGUUGCCAAGUUAACAUGAAGCACGUUGCAAUGGUUUGGGGUCUUUAGCGACUCAAGUUGAAGCCCCUGGUUAUUAUUGAAUACUUCAAUGUUGCCUUCUGCUGCUGCCUUAUACAGCCAAGCAUCCAUGUGAAUUAUGUUCCCUUCAGGCUCCAUUUUUGUUGAUCUAUUUCUUCUUGGAUAACACCAAACAAAAUUGAAUUAAUUAGCUUCAAACAUCCAAAAUUCGAGAAAUUUUUUUAUUACAAAUUCAAAAAAAAAAUCAAAUGUUUUACUUGUUUGUCAAUUAGCUGGCAACAUGCUUCAUUGAAAUUACCUACAAGUUGAUCAAAACAAACGAAAACUAUAUCAUUCCAUAAUUGUUGAAAGCUCCGUAACAUAUUUUAAUUCCCUUUUGGCGUCCACGUUAAUUUAAAAAUAACAAAAAAAUUAUUUUGUUGAAAGUUAAGAUUGUUGAGACAUCAAAUAUAAUAGAGUGGAAAGUUCGAAAUUAUUUCACCAAAAUUGGUUGAAACAUAAGAGUUUAGGGGUGAAGCUAGUGUUGGAGGGAUACUAGUACCCUAAAAUGGAAAAUUUUUCUUUUAGUCCAUUUAUAAUUUAUAAAAUUUUAAAUUAAUAUUGGUAAAAUUAUAUUUUGAUCUCCCAAAAAGGAUAAAUAUAAUUUAAUUUAAUCUUUUAAAGCUUAUAAAGAUAUAGGUUCUCAAAAUGGUGGAAUUGUAAUUUUUUUAACUAUAGUAAAAGUAUACAACUUAAUUUUUUGCGUAACCAACUGUCGAACUGAAACAUUUUUCUAUUGAUUUCUAUUAUAAACUCAAAAUUUUCUUUUAAAAGGUGAUUUUAUAGGUGUUUGAUCACACCUAAUAAAAAAAUUGGCGGCAACUUCUCAUUUUUAAAUAAAACCUUGUGUUUUUCUUAAACCUAAAAUUCUCAUAUUUUUUAAUGAUUCGUCAAACUAUUUUAAUUAUAAGGGAGAAUUAUUUACAACAUCUUUAUUAUUCUUUGAAUUUAAUAAAUCUUACUUUAAAUAAAUUGUGAUUUUUUUAUCUUUUUUGAAAUUGUAUGUGUAUCAACUAAUAACUUUAUAUUGAUUUCAAUUAAACGGAGAUUAUUAAUAUUAAAGUAAUAUUUCACCAAAUUUUGUUUUUCAAACCGAGUCAAUUAAGUUGUAAUGUAAAAGUAAAUAGCAAAAAAGUAAAAAUAAAGUGAAAUCAACACAAAUAAUACAUGCAUAAAUUCUAAAAACACUAAAAUAAGGCACAAACAGAAGCAAUUUCAGUCUAAAAACCAGUUUAAAACCAAUGAAAAUGGUAUAAAAAUAUUCACAAAGUAUGCCGAGAUCCACACAAGAAUUGAAAUCCAUUUGCGGGUAAGUAAAGAGGUGAAAAUAAAGGCAGGGCCGACCAAACAUGAAGCUAUGGCAAGUGCGUGAGAAGGUUUUAACACAACAUAGUUGGCUGUGCUGAAAGCAAUCACCAUUGCAAUCAGUGCACUAUUAAGGAGAUUUUAGCGGUCAACCGUGUUAUUAAAAUUUUGCGUCGCUGAUUUGAGUUUGAGGAAAAGAAACAUCGUCCUAAGGUAAACGGAGAGGGUGGAAAGAGAGAAGAAUAAAGGCCAAUGCAUUCGAUAUGAUAAAUACUUUAAAGGUUGCCUCGUGAAUCAGAAGAGGAGUACCCCUCUUCGGAUCCUCUUUCACUCUUGAAACCACCUGGGACGGUUAUUGCUGCCCGCGAAUGUGACCGUGGCUAUAAGUCCUGCCACUAUUAAAUGACCUUCUCUUUUCUUCUCCAAGCUUACUGUAGAGAUAGUAAUUGGCAAGCGAAAGGGACGAACUGGUUCGUCCGCCACUUGAUCAUUCUCAAUUUCUUCCAACAAUUCAUUGAUUUGCUCCUGCCAUGCCAAAAACAUUAGCCAAUUGUAUUGUAGGUUUAUUAAAGAUGUUAAUUCAAAACUUGAAUAUUAAUAAAACCAUAGCCAUGGAAAUGCAAUACAUAUGCACGCACACACACCUGUUUAUAAUGAUGUUUCUCAUGUUGAACUGCAUUAUAAACUUCUUGAGGUGUCAUUCCAAAAAGCACCUUCCAACUUCAUUAGAUUUCUGAGUGAUCCAUAUACAAUCUCAAUACCACCACGCUUGAAAAGAAAAAAGCUCUAAUGGAUAGGAAGAGCCUCUAAAAGCCAGAUAAUGAAGUAAAGUCAAACCUUUGUGUCCACUUUUCACAACAAUCUGGACAUAAAAUGAGAAUCUUUGAAACUGUUCCAAGAUUAACCUUGUCUGGCUGCCAUAAGAAGGGGUGUCAUCCCCCUCUUUUUAUCACCCAUAUAGGCAGCUGAUUACAUCCCUUUUUAACAGUUCUUCCACAACUGAGAAUCUACGACCUAAGUGUGCAGCAUAAUGAAGAGGGGUGCGUCCAUCUUCAUCUCUUUCCUUUGUCAAAUUCCCCCUUCUUCUUUAAUAUUACCCUUAUUGCCUCUAAAUCCAAGCAAAAAAAAAAAUGUCAAUAGACCUGUUCUUUAUUUAUUUCAAAAUUUUUUUAAAGAAAAAAUGGAACUAACUCAACAAAAUACCUGGCAUCUCCAGCCAUAGCUGCUGCAUGCAAAGAUGUUCUACCGUGGGGGCCGCCAUGAGCUGUUGACUUCGAUUUAUCUAAUAAUAGAGUCAACAAGCGCCCAGAUCCUUCUCCUCCUAGCUGCUAUGUAAAGUGGAGUCUCCUGUUUUUUGUUGGCAGAAUACGGAAAAUCAGGGUCUUCAAACUCCAACAAUGCUUUUACCACUUCAACAUUGCCACACCCUGCUGCUUCAUGUAAAGCCGUGUUGGAUUCCUGAUCCGUAAUCCUCAGCAUCUCCCUCACUGCACUUACUUGAUCCAUUCCCAGCUCUAAAUCUCCAUCUCUAGCUUUUGCGCAAGACUUGAUUAGAAGUUUCACAAUAGCAGAAUGUCCAUACCUUGCUGCAACGUGCAAAGGAGUUUGACCUUUAGCAUUCGUUUGGAAUAGCAGUGACGGACACUUGCUGAGAAUUUGUUCGAUAAAAUCUGAUUUUUUUUCUCUUUUUAUCAUAGUAACGAAAAAUUCAAAACGUAUAGGAUGGUACAAUUCCUACGGAGAAGAUUUUGAUUAUUGAGAAUUUGACAGUCU